rnacentral:rRNA from 1 species
UACGGGGGGGGCAAGCGUUGUUCGGAAUUAUUGGGCGUAAAGAGCUCGUAGGCGGUCUGUUGCGUCUGCUGUGAAAACUCGGGGCUUAACCCCGAGCCUGCAGUGGAUACGGGCAGACUAGAGGUAGGUAGGGGAGAAUGGAAUUCCCGGUGUAGCGGUGAAAUGCGCAGAUAUCGGGAGGAACACCGGUGGCGAAGGCGGUUCUCUGGGCCUUACCUGACGCUGAGGAGCGAAAGCGUGGGGAGCGAACAGG